rnacentral:rRNA from 1 species
UAACACGGGGGGAGCAAGCGUUGUUCGGAAUCACUGGGCGUAAAGGGUGUCUAGGCGGUCAGGUAAGUGAGAUGUGAAAUGCCCCGGCUUACCCGGGGACCGGCAUCUCAUACUGUCUGGCUUGAGUAUGGGAGAGGAUGAGGGAAUUCCUGGUGUAGCGGUGAAAUGCGUAGAUAUCAGGAGGAACACCGGUGGCGAAAGCGCUCAUCUGGCCCAAUACUGACGCUGAAGCACGAAAGCUAGGGGAGCAAACGGGAUUAGAUACCCCGGUAGUCCUAGCCGUAAACGGUGAUCACUAGGUGUUGGAGGCAUCGACCCCUCCAGUGCCGCAGCUAACGCAUUAAGUGAUCCGCCUGGGAAGUACGGCCGCAAGGUUG